rnacentral:rRNA from 1 species
GUAGUUAGCCGGGGCUUCCUCCUUGGCUACCGUCACUUUCUUCGUCACCAAGGACAGAGGUUUACAAUCCGAAGACCUUCUUCCCUCACGCGGCGUUGCUGGGUCAGGCUUGCGCCCAUUGCCCAAUAUUCCCCACUGCUGCCUCCCGUAGGAGUCUGGACCGUGUCUCAGUUCCAGUGUGGCCGAUCAGCCUCUCAGCUCGGCUACCCAUCGUUGGCUAGGUGGGCCGUUACCCCGCCUACUACCUAAUGGGACGCGAACCCCUCCUUCUGCGGAUUGCUCCUUUGACCCCUGAGCCAUGCGACUCUGUGGUCUUAUGCGGUAUUAGCACUUGUUUCCAGGUGUUAUCCCCCUCAAAAGGGCAGGUUGUUCACGCGUUACUCACCCGUUCGCCACUAGCUAUAAAUCCGAAAACCUAUAGCCCGUUCGACUUGCAUGUGUUAGGCACGCCGCCAGCGUUCGUCCUGAGCCAUGAUCAAACUCUGA